rnacentral:lncRNA from 1 species
CAACUUGUAGGAAUCAAAUCAAAGCCCCUUUUAAAAAUUUAAGGACCAAAAGGAAGAAAAUAAAAAAAAAUCUGCCUUGUGUUUUAAAAAACACCUCCCUUCUGUUUCCUCAACAUGUCAGUUCAUAUUUUUGGUUGCAAAUCUUGUAUCCCUGGCGAUCCCUCCUCCUUUUUAAUUCCUGUGUGCUAUUGUUUUAGAUCUGAGGUGUAAACUGACCCCAACAGAGGAUACACUCUAUACCCAAUCUAUGUAGUAUGAUGAAAAUACAUAAUAUUUCUUCUUACAUACCAAAAAAAUAUUUAUUUUCA